GAUGAACGCUGGCGGCGUGCCUAAUACAUGCAAGUCGAGCGAACAGACGAGGAGCUUGUUCCUCUGACGUUAGCGGCGGACGGGUGAGUAACACGUGGAUAACCUACCUAUAAGACUGGGAUAACUUCGGGAAACCGGAGCUAAUACCGGAUAAUAUAUUGAACCGCAUGGUUCAAUAGUGAAAGACGGUUUUGCUGUCACUUAUAGAUGGAUCCGCGCCGCAUUAGCUAGUUGGUAAGGUAACGGCUUACCAAGGCAACGAUGCGUAGCCGACCUGAGAGGGUGAUCGGCCACACUGGAACUGAGACACGGUCCAGACUCCUACAGGAGGCAGCAGUAGGGAAUCUUCCGCAAUGGGCGAAAGCCUGACGGAGCAACGCCGCGUGAGUGAUGAAGGUCUUCGGAUCGUAAAACUCUGUUAUUAGGGAAGAACAAAUGUGUAAGUAACUAUGCACGUCUUGACGGUACCUAAUCAGAAAGCCACGGCUAACUACGUG
rnacentral:rRNA from 1 species